UGCAGUCGAGCGGAGACAGUGAGUAGCUUGCUAUGAGCUGUUUUAGCGGCGGACGGGUGAGUAGCGCGUGAGCAACCUUUCCCAGACAGGGGAAUAACACACCGAAAGGUGUACUAAUACCGCAUAAGACCACGGGAUCACAUGGUUCUGAGGUAAAAGAUUUAUCGGUUUGGGGUGGGCUCGCGUCCGAUUAGGUAGUUGGUGAGGUAACGGCCCACCAAGCCGACGAUCGGUAGCCGACCUGAGAGGGUGAUCGGCCACAUUGGGACUGAGACACGGCCCAAACUCCUACGGGAGGCAGCAGUGGGGAAUAUUGGGCAAUGGAGGAAACUCUGACCCAGCAACGCCGCGUGGAGGAAGAAGGUUUUCGGAUCGUAAACUCCUGUCCUUGGAGACGAGUAGAAGACGGUAUCCAAGGAGGAAGCCCCGGCUAACUACGUGCCAGCAGCCGCGGUAAUACGUAGGGGGCAAGCGUUGUCCGGAAUAAUUGGGCGUAAAGGGCGCGUAGGCGGCUCGGUAAGUCUGGAGUGAAAGUCCUGCUUUUAAGGUGGGAAUUGCUUUGGAUACUGUCGGGCUUGAGUGCAGGAGAGGUUAGUGGAAUUCCCAGUGUAGCGGUGAAAUGCGUAGAGAUUGGGAGGAACACCAGUGGCGAAGGCGACUAACUGGACUGUAACUGACGCUGAGGCGCGAAAGUGUGGGGAGCAAACAGGAUUAGAUACCCUGGUAGUCCACACUGUAAACGAUGAAUGCUAGGUGUAGGGGGUAUCGACCCCUUCUGUGCCGCAGUCAACACAAUAAGCAUUCCGCCUGGGGAAUACGGCCGC
rnacentral:rRNA from 1 species